AGCGCAGGCGGGAAGACAAGUUGGAAGUGAAAUCUAUGGGCUCAACCCAUAAACUGCUUUCAAAACUGUUCUUCUUGAGUAGUGCAGAGGUAGGCGGAAUUCCCGGUGUAGCGGUGGAAUGCGUAGAUAUCGGGAGGAACACCAGUGGCGAAGGCGGCCUACUGGGCACCAACUGACGCUGAGGCUCGAAAGUGUGGGUAGCAAACA
rnacentral:rRNA from 1 species